rnacentral:rRNA from 1 species
GAUGAACGCUGGCGGCGUGCCUAAUACAUGCAAGUCGAGCGAACGGAUGAGAAGCUUGCUUCUCUGAUGUUAGCGGCGGACGGGUGAGUAACACGUGGAUAACCUACCUAUAAGACUGGGAUAACUUCGGGAAACCGGAGCUAAUACCGGAUAAUAUUUUGAACCGCAUGGUUCAAAAGUGAAAGACGGUCUUGCUGUCACUUAUAGAUGGAUCCGCGCUGCAUUAGCUAGUUGGUAAGGUAACGGCUUACCAAGGCAACGAUGCAUAGCCGACCUGAGAGGGUGAUCGGCCACACUGGAACUGAGACACGGUCCAGACUCCUACGGGAGGCAGCAGUAGGGAAUCUUCCGCAAUGGGCGAAAGCCUGACGGAGCAACGCCGCGUGAGUGAUGAAGGUCUUCGGAUCGUAAAACUCUGUUAUUAGGGAAGAACAUAUGUGUAAGUAACUGUGCACAUCCUGACGGUACCUAAUCAGAAAGCCACGGCUAACUACGUG